rnacentral:rRNA from 1 species
UUAAGCGACUAAGCGUACACGGUGGAUGCCCUGGCAGUCAGAGGCGAUGAAGGACGUGCUAAUCUGCGAUAAGCGUCGGUAAGGUGAUAUGAACCGUUAUAACCGGCGAUUUCCGAAUGGGGAAACCCAGUGUGAUUCGUCACACUAUCAUUAACUGAAUCCAUAGGUUAAUGAGGCGAACCGGGGGAACUGAAACAUCUAAGUACCCCGAGGAAAAGAAAUCAACCGAGAUUCCCCCAGUAGCGGCGAGCGAACGGGGAGCAGCCCAGAGCCUGAAUCAGUGUGUGUGUUAGUGGAAGCGUCUGGAAAGGCGCGCGAUACAGGGUGACAGCCCCGUACACAAAAAUGCACAUGCUGUGAGCUCGAUGAGUAGGGCGGGACACGUGGUAUCCUGUCUGAAUAUGGGGGGACCAUCCUCCAAGGCUAAAUACUCCUGACUGACCGAUAGUGAACCAGUACCGUGAGGGAAAGGCGAAAAGAACCCCGGCGAGGGGAGUGAAAAAGAACCUGAAACCGUGUACGUACAAGCAGUGGGAGCACGCUUAGGCGUGUGACUGCGUACCUUUUGUAUAAUGGGUCAGCGACUUAUAUUCUGUAGCAAGGUUAACCGAAUAGGGGAGCCGAAGGGAAACCGAGUCUUAACUGGGCGUUAAGUUGCAGGGUAUAGACCCGAAACCCGGUGAUCUAGCCAUGGGCAGGUUGAAGGUUGGGUAACACUAACUGGAGGACCGAACCGACUAAUGUUGAAAAAUUAGCGGAUGACUUGUGGCUGGGGGUGAAAGGCCAAUCAAACCGGGAGAUAGCUGGUUCUCCCCGAAAGCUAUUUAGGUAGCGCCUCGUGAAUUCAUCUCCGGGGGUAGAGCACUGUUUCGGCAAGGGGGUCAUCCCGACUUACCAACCCGAUGCAAACUGCGAAUACCGGAGAAUGUUAUCACGGGAGACACACGGCGGGUGCUAACGUCCGUCGUGAAGAGGGAAACAACCCAGACCGCCAGCUAAGGUCCCAAAGUCAUGGUUAAGUGGGAAACGAUGUGGGAAGGCCCAGACAGCCAGGAUGUUGGCUUAGAAGCAGCCAUCAUUUAAAGAAAGCGUAAUAGCUCACUGGUCGAGUCGGCCUGCGCGGAAGAUGUAACGGGGCUAAACCAUGCACCGAAGCUGCGGCAGCGACGCUUAUGCGUUGUUGGGUAGGGGAGCGUUCUGUAAGCCUGUGAAGGUGUGCUGUGAGGCAUGCUGGAGGUAUCAGAAGUGCGAAUGCUGACAUAAGUAACGAUAAAGCGGGUGAAAAGCCCGCUCGCCGGAAGACCAAGGGUUCCUGUCCAACGUUAAUCGGGGCAGGGUGAGUCGACCCCUAAGGCGAGGCCGAAAGGCGUAGUCGAUGGGAAACAGGUUAAUAUUCCUGUACUUGGUGUUACUGCGAAGGGGGGACGGAGAAGGCUAUGUUGGCCGGGCGACGGUUGUCCCGGUUUAAGCGUGUAGGCUGGUUUUCCAGGCAAAUCCGGAAAAUCAAGGCUGAGGCGUGAUGACGAGGCACUACGGUGCUGAAGCAACAAAUGCCCUGCUUCCAGGAAAAGCCUCUAAGCAUCAGGUAACAUCAAAUCGUACCCCAAACCGACACAGGUGGUCAGGUAGAGAAUACCAAGGCGCUUGAGAGAACUCGGGUGAAGGAACUAGGCAAAAUGGUGCCGUAACUUCGGGAGAAGGCACGCUGAUAUGUAGGUGAAGCGACUUGCUCGUGGAGCUGAAAUCAGUCGAAGAUACCAGCUGGCUGCAACUGUUUAUUAAAAACACAGCACUGUGCAAACACGAAAGUGGACGUAUACGGUGUGACGCCUGCCCGGUGCCGGAAGGUUAAUUGAUGGGGUCAGCGCAAGCGAAGCUCUUGAUCGAAGCCCCGGUAAACGGCGGCCGUAACUAUAACGGUCCUAAGGUAGCGAAAUUCCUUGUCGGGUAAGUUCCGACCUGCACGAAUGGCGUAAUGAUGGCCAGGCUGUCUCCACCCGAGACUCAGUGAAAUUGAACUCGCUGUGAAGAUGCAGUGUACCCGCGGCAAGACGGAAAGACCCCGUGAACCUUUACUAUAGCUUGACACUGAACAUUGAGCCUUGAUGUGUAGGAUAGGUGGGAGGCUUAGAAGUGUGGACGCCAGUCUGCAUGGAGCCGACCUUGAAAUACCACCCUUUAAUGUUUGAUGUUCUAACGUUGACCCGUAAUCCGGGUUGCGGACAGUGUCUGGUGGGUAGUUUGACUGGGGCGGUCUCCUCCUAAAGAGUAACGGAGGAGCACGAAGGUUGGCUAAUCCUGGUCGGACAUCAGGAGGUUAGUGCAAUGGCAUAAGCCAGCUUGACUGCGAGCGUGACGGCGCGAGCAGGUGCGAAAGCAGGUCAUAGUGAUCCGGUGGUUCUGAAUGGAAGGGCCAUCGCUCAACGGAUAAAAGGUACUCCGGGGAUAACAGGCUGAUACCGCCCAAGAGUUCAUAUCGACGGCGGUGUUUGGCACCUCGAUGUCGGCUCAUCACAUCCUGGGGCUGAAGUAGGUCCCAAGGGUAUGGCUGUUCGCCAUUUAAAGUGGUACGCGAGCUGGGUUUAGAACGUCGUGAGACAGUUCGGUCCCUAUCUGCCGUGGGCGCUGGAGAACUGAGGGGGGCUGCUCCUAGUACGAGAGGACCGGAGUGGACGCAUCACUGGUGUUCGGGUUGUCAUGCCAAUGGCACUGCCCGGUAGCUAAAUGCGGAAGAGAUAAGUGCUGAAAGCAUCUAAGCACGAAACUUGCCCCGAGAUGAGUUCUCCCUGACUCCUUGAGAGUCCUGAAGGAACGUUGAAGACGACGACGUUGAUAGGCCGGGUGUGUAAGCGCAGCGAUGCGUUGAGCUAACCGGUACUAAUGAACCGUGAGGCUUAACCUU